rnacentral:tRNA from 1 species
CCCCUGGUAACUCAGUUGGUAGAGUGCCUGUUUGAAGAACAGGAGGUCAUCCGUUCAAUCCGGAUCUGGGGGA